rnacentral:rRNA from 1 species
AUUGAACGCUGGCGGCAGGCCUAACACAUGCAAGUCGAGCGGAGUGGCGGACGGGUGAGUAAUGCCUAGGAAUCUGCCCGGUAGUGGGGGAUAACGUCCGGAAAGGGGCGCUAAUACCGCAUACUAUCAGAUGAGCCUAGGUCGGAUUAGCUAGUUGGUGGGGUAAAGGCCUACCAAGGCGACGAUCCGUAGCUGGUCUGAGAGGAUGACCAGUCACACUGGAACUGAGACACGGUCCAGACUCCUACGGGAGGCAGCAGUGGGGAAUAUUGGACAAUGGGGGAAAGCCUGAUCCAGCCAUGCCGCGUGUGUGAAGAAGGUCUUCGGAUUGUAAAGCACUUUAAGUAGGGAAGCGGUACCUACAGAAUAAGCACCGGCUAACUACGUGCCAGCAGCCGCGGUAAUUC